GACAGAGGGGGCAAGCGUUGCUCGGAAUUACUGGGCGUAAAGGGCGCGUAGGCGGGAUGGCAAGUCGGUCGUGAAAUCCCUCGGCUCAACUGAGGAUCGUCGAUCGAUACUGCCGUUCUUGAGGAUUGCAGAGGAGACUGGAAUUCCCGGUGUAGCGGUGAAAAUGUGUAGGGAUCGGGAGGAACACCGGUGGCGAAGGCGGGUCUCUGGGCAAUUCCUGACGCUGAGGCGCGAAAGCGUGGGGAGCAAACGGGA
rnacentral:rRNA from 1 species